CCCUGUGCAAAAGAAAUUGAAGAUGAACUGAGGGUGAGAUUCCAACAAAAGAAGACUGCAGACUCUCUUUUUUUUUUGGAACGAAAAGAAGACUGCAGACUCCUGGAGGAAACAAAGUAGCACCACGAGAAAGGACUGAUGAUGCAAUAAAAAAUAUUCUCACCAGUGAAGAAAGCAAAAUACAUCAGGCGAUAUCAGACAGAACCAGCAAGAAAAAAGGAUUGAAAAAGCAAUUAGAACGAGGAUUGAG